rnacentral:rRNA from 1 species
GACCCGUGAUCCGGGUUGCGGACAGUGUCUGGUGGGUAGUUUGACUGGGGCGGUCUCCUCCUAAAGAGUAACGGAGGAGCACGAAGGUUGGCUAAUCCUGGUCGGACAUCAGGAGGUUAGUGCAAUGGCAUAAGCCAGCUUGACUGCGAGCGUGACGGCGCGAGCAGGUGCGAAAGCAGGUCAUAGUGAUCCGGUGGUUCUGAAUGGAAGGGCCAUCGCUCAACGGAUAAAAGGUACUCCGGGGAUAACAGGCUGAUACCGCCCAAGAGUUCAUAUCGACGGCGGUGUUUGGCACCUCGAUGUCGGCUCAUCACAUCCUGGGGCUGAAGUAGGUCCCAAGGGUAUGGCUGUUCGCCAUUUAAAGUGGUACGCGAGCUGGGUUUAGAACGUCGUGAGACAGUUCGGUCCCUAUCUGCCGUGGGCGCUGGAGAACUGAGGGGGGCUGCUCCUAGUACGAGAGGACCGGAGUGGACGCAUCACUGGUGUUCGGGUUGUCAUGCCAAUGGCACUGCCCGGUAGCUAAAUGCGGAAGAGAUAAGUGCUGAAAGCAUCUAAGCACGAAACUUGCCCCGAGAUGAGUUCUCCCUGACUCCUUGAGAGUCCUGAAGGAACGUUGAAGACGACGACGUUGAUAGGCCGGGUGUGUAAGCGCAGCGAUGCGUUGAGCUAACCGGUACUAAUGAACCGUGAGGCUUAACCUUACAACGCCGAAG